rnacentral:ncRNA from 29 species
CUCGAUUGCCAGGGGUGCGAAAUUUUGUUUAUUUCGCUGAGAGAGCGUGAGCUUAACCCUUUGAACCUGUUUAAUUCAUAUUAAGGGCCUGCGUAUAAAUAACCUU